UGCAAAGCUGAGCACAUGGAGAUGCCGAACAUUUGCACACCUUCCUUAAAUCCAUUUCCCUCCCUCUCUCCCUUCGCAGCUCCUCCAUCGUUCUCAGUGGACUUGCGUUUCGACUUCGGGUUUGGCACGAAACUUGGGUGGAUGUGAAGGUUUUCCUGGCUCCGCUCUUUGAUUCCUGAACUGCCCACAGCCCUGGUUGUCUGCCCAGAUGGAGUCUGGUACGUGAGGCAGCGGGGGAAAGCGCUUGAACUCUUGAGACAAAAGCUACAAACAAGCAACCGACGGCGGGGUCCAGAAAGAGCCAGGGCACAACCUCAGUCUGUCCUCAGCCAGCCCUCACCUGCUGCCUUUCUUAGUUGCCCACCAGUCGAGAGGGUAGCCCUGGCUGUCAGACUUCGUCCUCCCGAGUCUCUGUUUCGCCCUUGCAGAUCUCAGCAGGGAAGGGACAGUUCUGCCUGUCUCUAGCGCCACCUACUGUUGGGCUCCCUGCUUUCUGCCCCACCAGACGCAAGAUAGAUAAUUUAUUAUGGUCGGAGACCAGCUUAUAAAACACACUUGGGGGUACAAUCCCAGAAGGGAAACAAACAUUUAAAACAAUAUACAACAAUAAAUUUAAAAUUUAUAAAUGUGACAAGCGUAUAGACACUUAAAACUUUAAGAUAAGCUACCGCAGGGAGAUGACCCAAGGUCACCCAUGGAACCGAGUUUGGGGAUUUUCUUAACAAACUAGUUUGGGUUAGGGGAUGGUCUGCCCCUACAGAUCUGUACACAGAAUCUGGCCACCAGACCCAAUUGGCACCAGACUCUACUGGCUAGCAUUCCAAGGGCAUAGAGUAGUACACACUACCUGUAGACCUGCUUGCAACCCAACUUAGGCAGGUAUUCCAGAAGAAAACAGACAGAGAAGCUCUUCAAGGGAGGUGCAAGGCCCCAUUCACUUCACCAAGAGUGGGGGCUCCAACUCCCUGCAAUGUUUGCCUUUUCUUCCAGGCUAUCUUCUGACCCACAAAGGUUGUUGCAUCUCUUCCCUUUCUGUUGCCACUAUCCAUCAGCUUGCCUCUUCUUCUGGGCCAAAUCCAUGCCACCUACCAGAGAGUGGUAUGUGUGUGUACAUGGGUUCCAGAGAUUUCUGCUUCUUCCUCUUACAGAACCUAUAGAAUCAUAAAGUUGGAAGGGACCACAGGAUAUUCUAAGCCC